AAGUCGUAACAAGGUUUCCGUAGGUGAACCUGCGGAAGGAUCAUUAUUGAAUAAGCUUGGUUGGGUUGUUGCUGGCUCUCAGGGGCAUGUGCACGCCUAACACCAACUUUUACCACCUGUGCACAUUUUGUAGACCUGGAUAAAACUCUCGAGGAAACUCGGUUUGAGGAAUGCUGUGCGCAAGCCAGCUUUCCUUGUACUUCUGGUCUAUGUUUUUAUAUAUACACACACCCCUAUAGUAUGUCUCGGAAUGUUUGUUUGUUGGGCUUGAAUGCCUUUAAACUUAAUACAACUUUCAACAACGGAUCUCUUGGCUCUCGCAUCGAUGAAGAACGCAGCGAAAUGCGAUAAGUAAUGUGAAUUGCAGAAUUCAGUGAAUCAUCGAAUCUUUGAACGCACCUUGCGCUCCUUGGUAUUCCGAGGAGCAUGCCUGUUUGAGUGUCAUGAAAUUCUCAACCUUUUCAGCUUUUUCUGUUGAUCAGGCUUGGAUGUGGGAGUAUGCGGGCUUCUCAGAAGUCGGCUCUCCUGAAAUGCAUUAGCGGGACCUUUGUUGCCUUGCUUUGGUGUGAUAAUUAUCUACGCCAUUCGUGAAGAGCAGCUUUAUNANNNNGUNCAGCUUCUAAAGGUCUCUUUUGAGACAACUUCUGACAAUUGNNNNNAAAUCUGAGGGUCUUUAUGGNNGGNCCNANUNGNAAUCUAGAGAAGUGCUAUCCGCGCUGGACCNUGUACAAGUCUCCUGGAACGGAGCGUCAUAGAGGGUGAGAAUCCCGCCUUUGACACGGACUACCAGGGCUUAUGUGAUACGCUCUCAAAGAGUCGAGUUGUUUGGGAAUGCAGCUCUAAAUGGGUGGUAAAUUCCAUCUAAAGCUAAAUAUUGGCGAGAGACCGAUAGCGAACAAGUACCGUGAGGGAAAGAUGAAAAGAACUUUGGAAAGAGAGUUAAAAAGUACGUGAAAUUGUUGAAAGGGAAACGCUUGAAGUCAGUCGCAUUGGCCAGGGAUCAACCUUGCUUUUGCUUGGUGUAUUUUCUGGUUAAUGGGUCAGCACCAAUUUUGAUCGGUGAAAAAGAUCAAGGGAAUGUGGCAUCUUCGGAUGUGUUAUAGCCCUUGGUUGUAUACAUCGAUUGGGAUUGAGGAACUCAGCACGCCGCAAGGCCGGGUUUUUAACCACGUACGUGCUUAGGAUGCUGGCAUAAUGGCUUUAAUCGACCCGUCUUGAAACACGGACC
rnacentral:rRNA from 1 species